GAUGAACGCUGGCGGCGUGCUUAACACAUGCAAGUCGAACGAAGCGCCUUAUUUGAUUUUCUUCGGAACUGAAGAUUUGGUGACUGAGUGGCGGACGGGUGAGUAACGCGUGGGUAACCUGCCCUGUACAGGGGGAUAACAAUCAGAAAUGACUGCUAAUACCGCAUAAGACCACAGCACCGCAUGGUGCAGGGGUAAAAACUCCGGUGGUACAGGAUGGACCCGCGUCUGAUUAGCUGGUUGGUGAGGUAACGGCUCACCAAGGCGACGAUCAGUAGCCGGCUUGAGAGAGUGAACGGCCACAUUGGGACUGAGACACGGCCCAAACUCCUACGGGAGGCAGCAGUGGGGAAUAUUGCACAAUGGGGGGAACCCUGAUGCAGCGACGCCGCGUGAGUGAAGAAGUAUUUCGGUAUGUAAAGCUCUAUCAGCAGGGAAGAAAAUGACGGUACCUGACUAAGAAGCCCCGGCUAACUACGUG
rnacentral:rRNA from 1 species